rnacentral:rRNA from 1 species
GAUGACCGCUGGCGGCGUGCCUAAUACAUGCAAGUCGAACGAGUGGCGGACGGGUGAGUAAUGUCUGGGCAACUGCCCGAUGGAGGGGGAUAACUACUGGAAACGGUAGCUAAUACCGCAUACCAUCGGAUGUGCCCAGAUGGGAUUAGCUAGUAGGUGGGGUAACGGCUCACCUAGGCGACGAUCCCUAGCUGGUCUGAGAGGAUGACCAGCCAGACUGGAACUGAUACACGGUCCAGACUCCUACGGGAUGCAGCAGUGGGGAAUAUUGCACAAUGGGCGCAAGCCUGAUGCAGCCAUGCCGCGUGUAUGAAGAAGGCCUUCUGGUUGUAAAGUACUUUCAGCGGGGAGGCGUUACCCGCAGAAGAAGCACCGGCUAACUCCGUGCCAGCAGCCGCGGUAAUAC